rnacentral:lncRNA from 1 species
UUGUGAGCAAGUUCAUCCUAAGCUAUACAUUGUGCCUGGGUACCUGGAUCGACGAAACCAGUCGUCGGAAUCGCCAGAAACGGCUUUGGAAACUUCAAAAAUUACCCGAACUUCCAGUCGUUCCACAUUUCCUUGGGUUUUCGAGCUGGAAAAAUGGGUGGAUUAGAUAAAGGACAUCAAUAUGAAACUUUUGCAAUUAAUUUUGCUCGAAUUGGACAUUGAACAGAGAUGAAAUCACCGUCGGAAAUUUGCUGCCGCCCACUUAGAGAGAUAAAGUCAUGCCAAGAG